rnacentral:lncRNA from 1 species
AUGUGCGUGGCAAACCCAAACGAUCCAAACGCCACCUGCGAGUUUCCUCGCCUCCCAGCAGGUGAAACCCGCACGGACGUCUCCACAGCUCUGCCUCCCCAUCCCCGAGGCCGAGAAGGCUCCCGCGACCCCCGCCUAAGUCCCACCGGUGCGGGCUCCGGAGCCCGAGGGCGCGGACAGCUGCUGCCACCGCAUCCCCGAUCCUGGGAGUCCGCCCGCUCCGGGGCGGCCAGGGGACCUGUGGGACACUGCGGGGCCGGUUGGGUGGGGAAAGUUGGGGGCCUGGCGCCGCGCCCCUCCUUACCUGGCGCUCGCCGGCCCCUGCUGGGACAUCCGUCGGGUGCGCGCCCCUCCGCGCGCUCGCUGCGCACCUGGCCGUUGUCGCCGCCACCGCCCGGCCCCAGCCCUGGCCGCCGCGCUAGCGCUUCAUGGCGCACGGGGCUGGCCCGGGGCCCCGGGAAGCGUGUCCAGUUGGCGGCGGCUCCUCCGGCUGUCGCCUCUCGCCAAUGGCUCCCCGCCUUCCCCCGCCCCGCGUCCGAGCGCCAGUCCUCGGCGGCCGCCCUUUUCCCUCCGCUCCCCGGGACCGGCCAAACUGGUUUCUCCGCUCCGGGGUGGUGCCUCCAGUCUCUCACUGGCAGCCGCGGCUGGGGCUGGGGGCGGGCCCGGCCGUCUGCCCUCCCUUUGUCCCUCCCGGGGGCGGAGAGGGGCUGGACGGCGAGCCCCAGGGCGGGCACACGCGGCCCAGGUCCAGCCCCGCGCCCUCCGUGCGCCCUGGCGGCAGGUGGGCACCCAGGCGGUGCCCCGAACUCGUCCCCUGCCUCGCCCGACCUGCCACUUGGCAGCUGCGAUCGCUGUCGGCUCCUUUGGCGCUCCCGCCUCCCGGGGGGCCGCGCUAGCCACCCCGCCCCACCAGCUUCGCGUCACUUUCCCGCCGCCCUCGGCUGGCCUGGCCGCCGCCCGGGGUCGGUGACCUCCCCAGCCCGGAAAGCUGGCCGGGCCGCGGCUCGCCUGGGACCUGCCCCCCCCCCCCUCGGUAAGGGGAGCUGUACCCUCUCGACGCCGCCAAGUCACGUUCCAGGACUGGUCACCGAACGCGCGUCGCGGUUCGCUGCGCAGAGGGUGGGGAAGGGGCCGGCGCCAAAAGACUUGGAGAAACUUACCUGUAUUUGCAGCAAGCAGGCUUUGUGCGGAGACCUGGCUCCUCUGCCUUUAGGGGUUUGGGGUCAAAAGCAGCCAAGGCGCAGCAGGUGA